CGCCCAGACUCCUACGGGAGGCAGCAGUGGGGAAUAUUGGGCAAUGGGCGCAAGCCUGACCCAGCAACGCCGCGUGAAGGAAGAAGGCUUUCGGGUUGUAAACUUCUUUUAAGAGGGAAGAGCAGAAGACGGUACCUCUUGAAUAAGCCACGGCUAACUACGUGCCAGCAGCCGCGGUAAUACGUAGGUGGCAAGCGUUGUCCGGAUUUACUGGGUGUAAAGGGCGUGCAGCCGGGAAGACAAGUCAGAUGUGAAAUCCCGCGGCUCAACCGCGGAACUGCAUUUGAAACUGUUUUUCUUGAGUACCGGAGAGGUCAUCGGAAUUCCUUGUGUAGCGGUGAAAUGCAUAGAUAUCACGCAGAACCCCGAUUGCGAAGGCAGCAUGCCGGCUUCCGACUGACGCUGAAGCACGAAAGCGUGGGGAUCGAACAGGAUUAGAUACCCCGGUA
rnacentral:rRNA from 1 species